CUCCUACGGGGGGCAGCAGUAGGGAAUCUUCCACAAUGGACGAAAGUCUGAUGGAGCAACGCCGCGUGAGUGAAGAAGGGUUUCGGCUCGUAAAGCUCUGUUGGUAGUGAAGAAAGAUAGAGGUAGUAACUGGCCUUUAUUUUACGGUAAUUACUUAGGAAGUCACGGCUAACUACGUGCCAGCAGCCGCGGUAAUACGUAGGUGGCAAGCGUUUUCCGGAUUUAUUUGGCGUAAAUCGAGUGCAGGCGG
rnacentral:rRNA from 1 species